rnacentral:lncRNA from 1 species
GAAUACUAGCAUUACAAAACUACAACCAAGAAACCUGUGAAUACAACUGUCGGCGAAUUGGAGAAGCUCGCUCGAAGCUGGUGAAAAGGCGCGCUCCAAUUAUUCUGCAAUUCAUAUUCCGCUUACUAAAAUUAGCUGCUGAAGAAACCUGAUGUUUGGCUAUUGAUACAUCCUUACGCAACAACAUGAAUAACUUAUCACUUAAUGACAUGAAUAGCCUCACUUCAUGAUAUGAUAAUAACGAUGCCUACAAAGCAUAAGCUCGUACGUAUAUCUUGAGAAACGAAACUUCAAUGGCCGUAAAUUCUCCAGCCGAGCUUAAGGGCACGUAGCAAAGAUACACACCAUGCACACAUGUAAGUAAUAGGUUGCGAUGAUAAUCAACUAUUUCCCAACCAAAUCUGCAGGCUGCAGGCCUCAUAACCAUGUACAUCCAUAAUGGGGCAAAUCUCCUUAAACUGAUAUUUGUAUAGUUUUAGUCAUUAUUACAGAAGUCUGACAGCAUGACAAAGAUGUUAUUCCAACAGCACCUACAGUUGUGUUGCAAGGUAACCCAGACGAUGUGAAAUGGGGUACAUCCAUAAUGCGGCAAAUCUCCUUAAACUGAUAUCUGUAUAGUUUUAGUCAUUAUUACAGAAGUCUGCCAGCAUGACAAAGAUGUUAUUCCAACAGCACCUACAGUUGUGUUGCAAGGUAACCCAGACGAUGUGAAAUGGGGUACAUCCAUAAUGCGGCAAAUCUCCUUAAACUGAUAUCUGUAUAGUUUGUCAUUAUUACAGAAGUCUGCCAGCAUGACAAAGAUGUUAUUCCAACAGCACCUACAGUUGGGUUGCAAGGUAACCCAGACGAUGUGAAAUGGGGUACAUCCAUAAUGCGGCAAAUCUCCUUAAACUGAUAUCUGUAUAGUUUUAGUCAUUAUUACAGAAGUCUGCCAGCAUGACAAAGAUGUUAUUCCAACAGCACCUACAGUUGGGUUGCAAGGUAACCCAGACGAUGUGAAAUGGGAAAUGUACAUCCAUAAUGGGGCAAAUCUCCUUAAACUGAUAUUUGUAUAGUUUUAGUCAUUAUUACAGAAGUCUGCCAGCAUGACAAAGAUGUUAUUCCAACAGCACCUACAGUUGUGUUGCAAGGUAACCCAGACGAUGUGAAAUGGGAAAUGCUGUUUCUCAUAAGAUGCAGCAAAAUCACUCUCAAACACCAAACAUCAGGCUGAACUUGGUGGCGAGGGGGACGGAUAUGAUGGCAACUCCCAACGCGACUCCGAAGAUACGGUGCGAGAU